rnacentral:rRNA from 1 species
CCUACGGGAGGCAGCAGUGGGGAAUAUUGGACAAUGGGGGGAACCCUGAUCCAGCCAUGCCGCGUGUGUGAAGAAGGCCCUCGGGUUGUAAAGCACUUUCAGUGAGGAAGAACGCCUGGUGGUUAAUACCCAUCAGGAAAGACAUCACUCACAGAAGAAGCACCGGCUAACUGCGUGCCAGCAGCCGCGGUAAUACGGAGGGUGCGAGCGUUAAUCGGAAUUACUGGGCGUAAAGCGCGCGUAGGUGGCUUGAUAAGCCGGUUGUGAAAGCCCCGGGCUCAACCUGGGAACGGCAUCCGGAACUGUCAAGCUAGAGUGCAGGAGAGGAAGGUAGAAUUCCCGGUGUAGCGGUGAAAUGCGUAGAGAUCGGGAGGAAUACCAGUGGCGAAGGCGGCCUUCUGGACUGACACUGACACUGAGGUGCGAAAGCGUGGGUAGCAAACAGGAUUAGAUACCCCAGUAGUC